rnacentral:lncRNA from 15 species
AUGCCAGCAAAACGAAACUUGAAGAGACAUUUAAAUUCUGAUGAGACUCAACCAGCGACGCCAAGAACAACAAAAUACAGAAGGCUUCAACCGAACCAGAAAAAGAGAAAAUUGUUCUACAAGAGAUUUCUCGGUACAUCUUCAGUUCCAAGAACAUCCCUUUACAGAAGAAAAGUUACUGAAAAGAUUUGUCUUACAGAUCAUAGUAAUGCAGAUACUUACCAAGAAGUGGAUAGAGAGAGACAGGAGGACAGAGAGGAAGAUGGCGGAAGUGGACAAGAGGACAGAGAGGAAGGUGGUGGAAGUGGACAUGACGACAGAGAGGAAGAUGAUGGAAGUGGACAAGAGGACAGAGAGGAAGAUGGUGGAAGUGGACAAGAGGACAGAGAGGAAGAUGACGGAAGUGGACAUGACGACAGACAGGAAGAUGAUGGAAGUGGACAAGAGGACAGAGAGGAAGAUGAUGGAAGUGGACAAGAACACCGAGAGGAAGAUGAUGGAAGUGGACAAGAACACAGAGCAGAAGAGAGGAGCCAAGUAGUAGGGAGGUUAAGUGACUUUUGACUUCAAGUCAUGAUGCAAAGGUCCCCUUUGGUAUGGAAGUACCUUAGGGCCAUAGAAAUAAAUGUAUCCUAAGACACAAGUGACGUGUACAUGGCAUAUUUGGGGUCAAGGAGUCCAAUAAAACAGGUUCCAAGACUAUAAAACAAUAAUGUUGUCCUUACCAUGACAAUUGGAGGUAAAGUAUGCAAUUUCUUACUAAAAAACGCAUGCCAAACACACAGUCCAUUCACAACUUAAUAAUAAUUUAAUAAAUAACAAGUUAAUAACUAUGUUCACAGUUUGGAAGACUAAUAGUUUAGUGUAAAUACAUCAUUAAGGUGAUUUUCUAUUUAGAUGUCUGCACCACUGUGGGAACAUGAGCCACGACAUCCACAGAGACAUAUGCAAUGCAGCCUCUGCAUACAGCAUUUGCAAGGUGCCUUAUAGUCAGUCUUACACUUGCAAAUGACAAGUUCUGGCAAGUCCUUUGAAAUAGUGGCAGUUGUAGUGUAGACAGGAGUUGGUGGAGAGUCUGGGGAAUCCUGCUGCCAUCCCCAUAGAGAUGGCGAUACUGUUGCAUGGUCUUUGACAAGUGUAUUGCCCCAUACAUGUCCACUCUAAAGAGAAACAUGAUUAGUGAUACAAAGGCCCUUCAUUAUUCUUAGCCAUGUUUAUAUUUUGCCCCUAUGCAAAGUUGUCUUACCUGAUAAACUACUCAAAGGAGGUGCUGAUGGAGUGCAUCAGUGCUUGGUGGCAUGUGGUCAAAGUCUUUUCCUUUGUGGAAGAAGAGGGAGAGUCGCGCAGCAUCCACAGUUGUGAUGUUGUCCUCAGAUGCACCAUAGAGCAUCAGGACAAAUCUCUGGAGGGUGGGUGUGUGGGUUCUGAUCAUCUCAGUGGUGGGGGUUGGGCCAGAGAGCAGCUGAAGUGGUAAGGUGAGCUGGCAGGGACUGCCACACAGACCAGGCUGUCUUCUUGCCUUUGCCAAAGAAUGCAGAGGUAGUGUCGCACCCCGUUAGGGCAUGAAAUGCUGGCAGUGCCAUUUCCUUGGAUGGUCCAAGACUGUGAGCAAUGGCAUGUGGAAAAUCUGUGUAUCGGCUUCCUCAUGUGUGCAAGGGGCCAGUGCAUCAGUGUCAAUGCCAGCUAGUGAACUUACACAGUCCUCAAGCAUAGUGGUGAAGAGCUCCUUGCCCUGGAACAAGAAAGAUAGGAUAUCUGAAUGUCACUGAGGAUAUGCCAGUGAAGUCAGUUGUAUUGACUACAGUAUGUAACAGAACAAUUUAAGAAAUAAAUGGACCAAAAAAACAGCAGUGGACGGCUCCUCCCCUCCGUUGCAGGACGGAGAGAUUUAAAAGAUCCUUUGCUCCUAUAGCCAUCAGGCUGUCUAAUUCUUCAAUAAUUUACAAAAGAGCAAACAGACUACUUGAAUUUCCCCUUGGGGAUAAAUAAAGUAAUUUUGAAUUUGAAUUUGAAUUUUUUGAAUACCUGUGGAAGUGUCAUGAGCUUCAAGCUUUUGGCCAGCUGCAUGAACAACUCCUGCUUGUUCAGAUCCACUCGUAGGAAGGAAGCCCAGUUGUCAGGAACUUUGGUUGAGAGAGUGACCCUCCUUCUUGCACCAGUGUCUCUUUGCUCCCGAGUUCCGGAUCAUUUCUUUCAAACCAGGAAAGGAUGCAAACACAUCUGUGAAAUAUUGUCCAAUGGUCACAGCGUUUCCAGGACGAAGCAUCUGAACAAGGACAGCACCAUCCAGCACAGCUGCAGUUGUCACAGGUCUGUGGUUGUCUAAAUCUCUGGGGACAAUGCAAUCUAGAAUCUCACUCUUGUUUCCGUGAUGCAUUUCUCCCUACCGAGUGAGUAAAGGUGGAUGGGGAGAACUUUCAUGUGAAAACACUCCCUCAUCAAUUUUGCGACCAGAAUGACCAGCCAGCAAAAGUUGGGUCAUUUUUGCUUGUUGGUCCUUGACCACAGCCACCUCUGAUUUGUUGCAUCGUUGGGAAAUUGGAGCCUUGAACAACUUCAGCCUGGUGAGUGGUAUUGGAGCUGUGAAUGCCUCUUCCUGUGAUCUCACUCGCUUGUCAACAAAUACUGUGUAUCUUUUCAUUCCAAUGUUCUUCACUUCCCUUACACUGUCUACCACAUCUGGGGGCAUGACGAUUGAUUCAUCAGCGAACUGUGUCUGGGUCGUCCAGGUUCUCUAUGACACCACCAUGAUUCUUGAGCCAGUCAUUAGUUGCUCAUGCAUCGGGUCAUGGGGGAUCUUGGAGAACGCUCGUCUCAACUUCUGCCCCAUGAAGUGACCACUCUGGAACUCCACAAAUUGAGCAGGAUGUCGUGCUUCUAAUGUAGCCAUAUCACGGAGAUGGAUGGGUAGGUUCCGGGCAUAGUGCGUAUGAUCCAGUGCAAAUACCCAUGGCAUCAGAGAGUCAAGUGUCUCCAUGUGGAGGGAGAAGUCUGCUGAGCGACAGAACUUGACAAACUGAAAAAACUAAUAAUAUUUUUAUGAAAUACUAGGUGAAGGAGCUUUAAUCUUGACUUAAGAAUAUGAAUUGGAUAAAGGACUGAAUGAGACACACAAUCUGAACAUAUCUUACCUGAAGAAUGAGAAGAUCCAGCUCCAUGGACUUGAACAAGAAAUCUGCUUGGGGUUGUGAGGCACAAAGCGUCUUGAGCCAUUCAUCAAAAGGCUGAAGGAUGAGAUCGCUCGGCUCAUCAUUGUCAUUUGUUGCCUUCUCCAUGUACUUAUCAUAAGCCUUCUUCGUGAGCACAUAGAGAGCAGCUACAGACACGUGACGCAUGUAUCGGGCUCUGCAUAUGUGGUGAACACUAAUGAAGGCCUGAGCUUUGCCACUAGUCGAGAUGCCACUAUUGAUAAGAGCUGUGGUCCACCCGCUGCCAUCCAGCCAGUCACCAGACACGCUCCACAGCAUCUUUUCGGUAUGCAUUGGGCCCAGUGUUACCAGGAAGGAAUCCUCGCCAAGCUCGGUCUGAGGAAACUUCCACUGAAGUUUCUUGGCCAGUGUGAAGAGUGGUUGAUCAGCUACCAUGACUGGUGUCUGACCUGGAUUAAGGUAGCUGAUUGUUUGUCUGAGGACUUUCAUUGCAUGCCAAGCCAUAGUGGGGCUGGUAGAGGGCUCUGUGAACAGUGGCAACAUGUAUGAUUUGGAUGGGGGAGGUGAAGUAGCCUCUGUGAUGCUGGCAUAAUAUGCAGCCCAUGAGAUCCAUUCCCCGGCUUCAAGGUUCUCUUUCACGAGAAUGUUUCUGACUCUCUCUAACCACUGGUAGCCUUCUUCAAUUACAUUGAUGAGAGGACGGGAGGCUGGAUGAGGAUGGCUGUUGGUAUUCAGGGCAGGAACAUACAAGACCUCAUCAGUUGGCAGUGAUACCUCCAGAUCCAUGGUUGUGUAGUGAGGUGGCAAGGAUUUCACAUGCUUCUUCCCCAUUUCAGCUGGAUCUAGGAUGUCAGUCAGAUUCUCAGUCUGUUGGCUGUCUGAAGAGAAGUGCUGUUGAAUGCUGAUGCAUGUUCCAUGGAGGGCUGAUGUUGCUAUUGUCGAUGAUGGGUUGUGGUCAAUGUUAUCAAAACCACCAAUGGUGAAGACACCCUUGACUGCCUGAGGUGGGACCACGACACCAAUCUGCUCCCAGUGACUGAUCACUGAAUUCGCUAUAUCUAUGCUAAAUGUUUUCAAGCGGUCAUAUGACAUACACAUUCCUCUUUUAUGCAUGGCCUCCACCAGAUAUCUACUACCACUUUGCUGGUGUAGUUUCAUUGCCAGAUAUAGCGAAGCUGGUGUUUCCCUCUCUCUUAUGUGACGAGGAACACUGCCAUGUUUCUUGGAUCUGCAUCUUACAGAGUUGAAAAUUAUUUGCUGCCCAAUGGAUGUUGCAGCCUGGGACUUCUCAGGUCCAGGAGGUGGCUGAUCAAUACCUGAUCCAUCAAGAAGCAUGUGUAAGAACGAUCUCAGCAUGGGAGGGAUAGAAUCAGCUUCACAGGAAGUUGAGAAGGUACCUGUAAAAGCAUGCUUCAUGGGGAGAUACUCUUGCCGGAGGAUUUUGGCUGCUUUGAAGAUGAUGGAGACAUCGGUAGAAGUGUUGUUUUUCAUGUCAGCAACAGCUUUGCUCAGGUCAUCAUCAAAUACAAGGGACCAGACACGAUUUAUUUGUACUGAUCUGAUGUCAGGAAUCAGGCGUUCAAUAUCCUCCCGAAGGCGUGUGGUGUUGCAUUUGAUGUUUGGAAUCCAAGAUCAGCAAUGCGCUCGUCAUAGAGGGCUGUCAAGUCAGACAUUGCCAGUGAUUCCCCUGAGCAACGAUAGUCCUCGAUGUAUUCGAGCAACUCAUUGAGGACAUGUGCUCUGAUGACCUGA